rnacentral:lncRNA from 1 species
UUAGCUGCUCUCGGAGCGGCAGGGCAGGCCCAGACCAGCGGUCUCGCGGCGACCGCAGGCCCCCCACCGCAGCUCCCAGAAUGCUCUCGGCCGGCGCGUCUGGGCCCUCCACCGCUGUGCGCCGGCACGUGAGGCUUCGUGCGGCCUAUUCCGGAGAGGAAAUGGUUGCGGCCGCCUCUUAUGUUGUGGGAGCGUGAUGGGGUUUUGUGGUGCGGAUGGGAAGACUGCGGAGGGUGUGGACGUUGGGCGGAGCCCAAGGUUGGGGUGCCGGGUGGGUUGCCCGCAAAGUGCGUGCCCACCCCGAGAGGGCCUUGCGGGCUGGGGUCUCUGCGCAAGCGCGGACCUAGCGUCGCGGCCGGGCGCUCUUGACUGCCGCGGUCAGUUACUGUCCAGGCGACUACGCCGCCUGCUAGAUGCACUUGAGGACCGAGCGCAGGCCAAGACCGUAAAAAGAAGCUUAACAAUGGAAGAAAUUGUAUCAUUGAUGUGGAGACAGUGGCCACGGGAUUGCUGAGGGCAGAGAGAGGGAGGAAGAGGUGUGAUAUGGGGCUUUUUUGGGACUUGGAGUUGUCCUCAGUGAUUUGCAGGGACAGAUGCAGGACGCUGUUUAUUCUGCUGUAACCCAUUGGAUGGACUGGGGGAGAGUGUGAACUACAAUGUAUGCUAUGGUCCGUGUGGUGUGGCACUGCUCUAGGGUGUAUCAUCAAAUGCAAUGAAUGUGCCUCACUGAUGAAAGGGCGUUUGUUGUGGGAAGAGCAGGGGUGGGGACCUCAUGUCUUUUAAAGUGACAUUUUGUGUGAUUUAUUUAUCUUUUUAAAAAAAUAGACAACAAAAACAAAGCUUAAUAAAGUUUACUUCUAAUCCAAUCU